rnacentral:lncRNA from 1 species
ACCCAAGGCAUUCGAUGAGGGUAUCACUGCAAUUCUUCCAGGCCCAAGAGCUCUUCAGUUAGCAGAUAGGAAUUUUUCUCCGAUCCUCAAGAUAAGAACCUGGUGAGGCUGCUGGAGGUAAAUCUGUAAAGUAUUGGUUUCCAUGGGGACCAGGACUCCAAGAGUUUAACUCUCAAGCUAGUACACACUCAGGCUCCAGAAAUGCCUCAAAAUUACCAUACAAGUGUUUCCACCCAUUGAUGGUUCCAGUGGCUUCUGCUUCAGAUUGGAUCUGGAGUUAGAAGACCUCACACUGCCACUUACUGUUUUUUAUCACCGUUAGGUAAUUCAUUUCAACGUUGGAGGUUUGCAUGAGGAAAGCAAGCUAGAAUAGUUUAUCCUGCAACUAACAAUCAGUUCCCUGCAACUAGCAGAAUAAUGGGCACAUAGGCAAUGAUCAAUAAAUACUUGUGAAGGAAUGAAUCUGGAGGAUUCAUGAAAUGUUCAUAAUAGGGUAUAUGAAAUCAGGGAGUUCAUGGAUCUACGUUUAUAAAUCUGAGGGAUAAGGAAUGUCCUUCCUAACUCAGGAUUUUUAUGAACCAGAUGUUUUGUUAUGGAGAGCCUUUCGGUGAUAGUCUUCCUUUUUUAGUAA